GGGGCAUUGGUGUAAUCGGUAACACUACGGUCUUCGGAACCGUCAUUGUGGGUUCGAACCCUGCAUGCCCUG
rnacentral:tRNA from 1 species